rnacentral:ncRNA from 1 species
AUAAAGGCAAUGAAGAGAAGAGUAGUUAUUUUGGAUAUUUACAGAGAGUUCCUGUGGGUGAGAGGGAGCGGUGGAAGAUUUAACGAAACAAGGCUCGGAGCUGCAUACGGAUCUUAUUCUAAGGGAUAAGUGAUACUAUGACGUUGGUUCACGUUACAGAACUAGAGUAUACUUUGUACUCGACAAGGUUAGUAUGGUGACAUGCUGAUGAAAUAGGGUGGUACCGCGACAGAAUUCGCCCCUACA